AGCGAACGCUGGCGGCAGGCUUAACACAUGCAAGUCGAGCGCCUGUAGCAAUACAGGAGCGGCAGACGGGAGAGUAACACGUGGGAACGUACCUUUCAGUUCGGAACAACCAAGGGAAACAUUGGCUAAUACCGAAUACGCCCGUAAGGGGAAAGAUUUAUCGCUGAAAGAUCGGCCCGCGUCUGAUUAGCUUGUUGGUG
rnacentral:rRNA from 1 species